rnacentral:rRNA from 1 species
CCAAAAGCUGGCGACCGGCGCACGGGUGAGUAACACGUAUCCAACCUGCCUCAUACUCGGGGAUAGCCUUUCGAAAGAAAGAUUAAUAUCCGAUAGCAUAUAUUUCCCGCAUGGGUUUUAUAUUAAAGAAAUUCGGUAUGAGAUGGGGAUGCGUUCCAUUAGUUUGUUGGGGGGGUAACGGCCCACCAAGACUACGAUGGAUAGGGGUUCUGAGAGGAAGGUCCCCCACAUUGGAACUGAGACACGGCCCAG